rnacentral:rRNA from 1 species
UGGGGAAUUUUGGACAAUGGGCGAAAGCCUGAUCCAGCAAUGCCGCGUGAGUGAAGAAGGCCUUCGGGUUGUAAAGCUCUUUUGUCAGGGAAGAAACGGUGAAAGCUAAUAUCUUUUGCUAAUGACGGUACCUGAAGAAUAAGCACCGGCUAGCUACGUGCCAGCAGCCGCGGUAACACGUAGGGUGCAAGCGUUAAUCGGAAUUACUGGGCGUAAAGCGUGCGCAGGCGGUUUUGUAAGUCUGAUGUGAAAAUCCCCGGGCUCAACCUGGGAAUUGCAUUGGAGACUGCGAGGCUAGAAUCUGGCAGAGGGGGGUAGAAUUCCACGUGUAGCAGUGAAAUGCGUGAUAUGUGGAGGAACACCGAUGGCGAAAGGCAGCCCCCCUGGGUCAAGAUUGACGCUCAUGCACGAAAGCGUGGGGAGCAAACAGGAUUAGAUACCCUGGUAGUCCACGCCCUAAACGAUGUCUACUAGUUGUCGGGUCUUAAUUGACUUGGUAACGCAGCUAACGCGUGAAGUAGACCGCCUGGGGGAGUACGGUCGCAAGAUUAAAAACUCAAAGG